rnacentral:lncRNA from 1 species
CUUAAUCCAGCAUUCGUCCGUGGUUUACGAUGAGGUGCGUGCUAAUUUGUGUCUAGUGGUUGAAAAGAAUCCAAAUUCGUGAUGAGUCGAUUCACGCUCACGAUAAUAGGGCUCCUUAUUUUCCCGAGCGUGCUCUCGUCCAGAGAAGAAAGACUGCUCCAAACGCCAUCCAAAGAGACUCUGGAACGAACAUGUCCUUGUUUGCCCGUCGAAGUAUGCCAGAAACACCAAGGCACAGGCGGUAAUUCAGGAUGGUCGGGCUUGAUUCCAGUGUGCGAGGACUUGAGCCUGGUGCGCUGCUGCGGGGCUCCACCUAUGAAAAAAGUGAGUUAUCCCGGCCAGUUAAUACAAAAUGCCCGUUUAGAUUUCAGCCACAAUCCCAGUGAUGAAAUAAUCCGUCAUACAAGGGACACGCUGAGCGACAAGGAGUCCUUGAUGAAGAAGUUGGACGAAACCAAAGGCUUCAAGAAACAAGAUCUGAGCGAACUUAAAGGCAAAAUACGGCCACGCAGAGCUAUUGACGAUGAUGAAGCUGUUGUCACAACUCAAAUGAGUGAUGCAAAAGUUAAUGUGACAGUUAUGUUGCAUGCAGUCAAUGAAACCAAAAUUCAGUCAGAGAGCGAGACGAAAAAUGCACCCGAAGUCAUCGUUGAACAGGAAAAGCAUCCAGUGAAUGAUAUGAAAAGUGGAGUGACACCCAUCACCGGAGGAGAGGUUUCGUCAGUCACUGGAAUGGAAAGUGACGUGGUUCCCACCACAGAGCCAGAGCUGCAUUCAACGAUUUUAGAAAAGAGUGAAGGGACAGUCUCAGCACAGCAGGAAGUGCAAAUGAACGAUGUUUUAGAGAAAGCAGCUGCAGUUACUACUGAGCAAGUGAUGCACUCAACUAGUGAUAUGAAGAAUGAGAUGGCAGCCAACGUUGAGUCAGGGAUACAAGAAAAAAGUGAAGCAACAGUCGUUCCUGAAGGAAGUACCCAGUCAGGUAACGUGAUGACGAAUGGAGUUGAUGUUACCACGGAGAAGGAGAUGCGUCUUAUCGAAGAGGCGAAGAAUGAGACUGUAAGUAUGAUCGCUCCAGAAAUGCGCAUGGUCAACGAAAUGGGAAGUGAAGGUGCAUCCACAACCGAACAACAAAUUCCUUCAGAAUCUGAAAAGGUCAACGGAGCAUCAUCCAUCUCAGGACUCGUUAUGAAUGAUGAAGUUGUAACUGCAAAUGUCACCUCGUCCGAAAAUGAAAUAAAAAUUCAAGCUACAGACAACUCAACACAAAAUGGGAGCUCUGAUGACAGUUCUACAGCACGUCAGGAAAUUUCGACGCAGGAUUUGAGUUCUAAAUCCCUCGAAGAGGUCACCACUGAAAAUUCUGCCAAGUUGUCAACUGAAUCUGUUGAAAUGACAUCAUCCAGCUCAUCAGAUAUUAGCACCACGAUUUUGAGUUCAAGUGCACCAAAUGAUGAAUCAUCGGCAAAUCGUGAAAUGAAUGAGCAAAGUCCGGCAAAAAUUGACUCAGUGAGUAAAGUUGCGACCCUUUCACCCUUAAUGGACAGUAGCUCUGUCAAGGCAGAUUCUUCGAAUGUGAAUGUAAGCAGCACAGAGAGAAGUAUUCAAGCUACAACUCAGGACAAGUCAAUCUCAACCAGUAAAACUUUCCCCAUCGAUUUUAGUAAGGUGAAAAAGUCUAAAUAUUUGGAUGUUAAAGAAGAGGUAGAAUCUAAAGUUGCUGUUGUGUAUGCAAAACCUGCAAGCGCCGAGGAGGAGAAAAUAAACGAGGAACUGAAGAAGAAAUUGGAUUCCAUGAUCCGAUCCAGUUUGAACACGACCGAUGGACCAAGUCAUGAUGAUGAUCGCCAUCAUAUCCAGCACAUUCCGUUGGGAAAACGUUUGAUAAUUUACAAAAAAAUAAAACCGUCCGAUAAGAAAGCCAUCAAGGAAUUGAUUUACGACAGCUUACAAACGGCAAAUCAAACUGAUCGCGCCUCUGGUGCACUUAAUGAAACAGUUUCGAGUGCUACUCCACCAGCAGAUAAUUCAACAAAUACUGUUAAAGAAGCCACUGAGGCAUCUAAAGUUUCAGAGACCAAGUCGAACCCAGAGAAAGAUUCUGAUGAUACUUUGGAGGCUGCUCAAAGUUCGCAAGUUCCAGUCUACGUAUUAAGUCCAGGUGCCGCAAGUAGUUCACCUGCUGAGGCAGCCGAGGAGGAACAUUCAGCAAAAAUUGACUUCGUUAAAAAGGGUUCAGGGGCACCAUCUAAUUUUGCAAGCAGGUUUUCACCCCCUGGUGUUGGAGUUAAGUUGGCAGAUACUCCGCAUACAUCGACGGAGCACACAAACCGUCCUACUGCUAACAGAGGACGAAUAAAGUUCCAAGAAAGUAUCAUAAAUGAUCAGCUGAAGGAGAAAAAAGCUGCUGCAGAAAGAGGAUAUGUAAGUAGUACGAUUGACACAGUGUCGACCGACAUCUCUGUAAUCAUCCAACUAGGAAAAAUUUCAAUCGACCCUCUGUGGGAUCAGUCAUUCCUUCGAACAAUUCUCCGGUAG